rnacentral:rRNA from 1 species
CGCUGGCGGCGUGCCUAAUACAUGCAAGUCGAACGCUGCUUAAAAAGAAACUUCGGUUUUUUCUUAAGCGGAGUGGCGGACGGGUGAGUAACACGUGGGGAACCUAUCCAUCAGCGGGGGAUAACACUUGGAAACAGGUGCUAAUACCGCAUACGGCUUUUUUNCACCUGAAAAAAANCUCAAAGGCGCUUUACANCNUCACUGAUGGCUGGNCCCGCGGUGCNUUACCCAUUUGGUGAGGUANCGGCNCACCAAANCANCAAUGCNUACCCNACCUGAAAGGGUGAUCGGCCACNCUGGGACUGAAACACGGCCCAAACNCCUACGGGAGGCAGCANUAGGGAANCUNCGGCAAUGGACGCAAGUCUGACCGAGCAACGCCGCGUGAGUGAAGAAGGUNUUCGGAUCGUAAAGCUCUGUUGUCAGCAAAGAACAGGAGAAAGAGGAAAUGCUUUUUCUAUGACGGUAGCUGACCAGAAAGCCACGGCUAACUACGUGCCAGCAGCCGCGGUAAUACGUAGGUGGCAAGCGUUGUCCGGAUUUAUUGGGCGUAAAGCGAGCGCAGGCGGUGAUUUAAGUCUGAUGUGAAAGCCCCCAGCUCAACUGGGGAGGGUCAUUGGAAACUGGAUCACUUGAGUGCAGAAGAGGANAGUGGAAUUCCAUGUGUAGCGGUGAAAUGCGUNGAUAUAUGGAGGAACACCAGUGGCGAAGGCGGCUCUCUGGUCUGUAACUGACGCUGAGGCUCGAUAGCGUGGGUAGCAAACAGGAUUAGAUACCCUGGUAGUCCACGCCGUAAACNAUGAGUGCUAAGUGUUGGAGGGUUUCCGCCCUUCAGUGCUGCAGUUAACGCAUUAAGCACUCCGCCUGGGGAGUACGACCGCAAGGUUGAAACUCAAAGGAAUUGACGGGGGCCCGCACAAGCGGUGGAGCAUGUGGUUUAAUUCGAAGCAACGCGAAGAACCUUACCAGGUCUUGACAUCCUUUGACCGCCCUAGAGAUAGGGUUUCCCCUUCGGGGGCAAAGUGACAGGUGGUGCAUGGUUGUCGUCAGCUCGUGUCGUGAGAUGUUGGGUUAAGUCCCGUAACGAGCGCAACCCUUAUUGUUAGUUGCCAGCAUUGAGUUGGGCACUCUAGCAAGACUGCCGGUGACAA